GAUGAACGCUGGCGGCGUGCCUAAUACAUGCAAGUCGAGCGAACAGACGAGGAGCUUGCUCCUUUGACGUUAGCGGCGGACGGGUGAGUAACACGUAGGUAACCUACCUAUAAGACUGGGAUAACUUCGGGAAACCGGAGCUAAUACCGGAUAAUAUUUCGAACCGCAUGGUUCGAUAGUGAAAGAUGGCUUUGCUAUCACUUAUAGAUGGACCUGCGCCGUAUUAGCUAGUUGGUAAGGUAACGGCUUACCAAGGCAACGAUACGUAGCCGACCUGAGAGGGUGAUCGGCCACACUGGAACUGAGACACGGUCCAGACUCCUACGGGAGGCAGCAGUAGGGAAUCUUCCGCAAUGGGCGAAAGCCUGACGGAGCAACGCGGCGUGAGUGAUGAAGGUCUUCGGAUCGUAAAACUCUGUUAUUAGGGAAGAACAAACGUGUAAGUAACUGUGCACGUCUUGACGGUACCUAAUCAGAAAGCCACGGCUAACUACGUG
rnacentral:rRNA from 1 species